GAGAAAUAGAUAUGUUUAAGGAAACAAAGGAAAAAGAGAAAAAAAUUAAGGUUGAGACAAAUAAUUAAAAUAAGAAAAAAAAAGGAAAUAAAAAAAAUAAAAAUUAAAAAAAAGAAAAAAAAAAGAAAUAAAAAUAGAAGUUGAGAGACUAAUGAACAUGAAAAGUAAGAGACAAAAAUAUACUUACGCUAUACAUAAAAAGGAAGAAAGAUUAGUCUUCAAAAAUUUAUCUCAUGACAGACAAAAAAACAAAGCCACCCACUAUGAAGACCAUACUAUAUAAUAUCCUGUCCGAUAACAUAACUCAUGAUUGUUGCAAAUUCCUUCAACAUGCAAAAGAGAAACGAAAAAGGUACAAAUAUAAUCCCGAAUUUUUGAUAAAUGGUAUACAUAUGCCCUCCAUUAUACUUUAGAUAAAAAUACACCACUGCCGUUAAUUAUUGGGUACAUAUAUACUCUUCUCACUAAUGAAGCGUCAUGUAUCAUAAGCGUAACCAUUUACUACUUUUUAUUUAUUUUACCCUAAAUAUAUCCACUACUUGACCGAUUAUUUGACUCGAUUCCUAAAAAUACUCAAGAGAUGGGUCUAUUCCUCCACACAGCAAAUAGAGGCGUCUCUCUAACUCUCUCUGCCUCUCACAAACUCACUAACAUCAAUAAAGCAACAACAACAUCAAUAACAAUGGAGAAGGCAGAAACAAUAUCAAUAAUAUUAGAACAUUAAGCAGAAUAUUAUUUAAAUAUUUCAUCAUUUUCAUUGUACUCCAAUAAAACUGCUAGUUUGGUGAAUAAUUAACACAGAAUUAACUCUAAAUAUAGAGGGAGAAGGAUGAUAUAUAGGGUGAGGUAAACAACUUGAUCUAACAGGCACUGUAUUUGUCUGAUAAAAAGUUAAUAUGCUAUUUUCAUUCUAAACUUCAAAAAUAACAAAAAGUUGCAUAAACUAAUCAGAGACAUUCCCUUCCAAAUUCCUCGCAUUUGCACUGGUUCACCUUCAUUACUUGAAGAUUGCAACCAAAAAUCCAGCAAACACAACAAAUAAAACAAUAAAUAACAUCUCCAUCUUCAAUAAUUUUUCUUUCAAAUUUCUUAAUUUGUCCACCUCGGAGCAGAAAUAAGGUUUUUAAAUAACAAGAACACCUUAAAUCGGACUCAAAAAUGAUUCUUUAGAACUUUGGAUUCAAACAACAACAAAUCCAUACAAGAAAACAAUUAAAUGGCAGGUUUAGAUGAAGAAGAAAUACUCAUAGACUUCAACUCGAUUCUUUAUCACGCCGCAAGGAAUCAAAAUCAGAUAUCGAAUAUAUUUUUGUUAGGAAUUUUUGUGAGAGGCAGAGAGAGUAAGAGAGAUGCUUAUGUUUGUUGUAUGGAAGAAUGGACCCGUCUCAUGAGUAUUCU
rnacentral:lncRNA from 1 species